rnacentral:rRNA from 1 species
UACAGAGGUCCCAAGCGUUGUUCGGAUUCACUGGGCGUAAAGGGCGCGUAGGCGGUCGGGCAAGUCUGACGUGAAAUCUUCAAGCUCAACUUGGAAACUGCGUCGGAUACUAUUCGGCUAGAGGAAUGGAGGGGAGACUGGAAUACUUGGUGUAGCAGUGAAAUGCGUAGAUAUCUGGAGGAACACCGGUGGCGAAGGCGGCAUCCUGGACCAAUAUUGACGCUGAGGAGCGAAAGCCAGGGGAGCAAACGGG